AUUGAACGCUGGCGGCAGGCCUAACACAUGCAAGUCGAACGAGUGGCGGACGGGUGAGUAAUGUCUGGGAAACUGCCCGAUGGAUGGGUAUAACUACUGGAAACUGUAUCUAAUACCGCAUACCAUCGGAUUUGCACAUAUGGGUUUAGCUAGUAGGUGGGGUAAUGGCUCACCUAGGCGACGACCCCUAGCUGGUCUGAGAGGAUGACCAGCCACACUGGAACUGAGACACGGGCCAGACUCCUACGGGAGGCAGCAGUGGGGAAUAUUGCACAAUGGGCGCAAGCCUGAUGCAGCCAUGCCGCGUGUAUGAAGAAGGCCUUCGGGUUGUAAAGUACUUUCAGCGGGGAGGCGUUACCCGCAGAAGAAGCACCGGCUAACUCCGUGCCAGCAGCCGCGGUAAUUC
rnacentral:rRNA from 1 species